GUUAUAUUUGAUGCUAUUAUUAUAUAUGGAUUGUUUUGGUACUCACACUCUUCUAUUUCUAACUUGGAUAUUUCACCAUGUGGAACGUUUGUUUCAGGGGACCGGGAGUCAAUGCCCUGCCUAAUGUGAGUCAGAUUAGGAAGAUUUACAGUUUCUACCCAGACAGUACAUUUCUGUAGAAAUAAAUUGUCUUUCAGACUCUAAAGGGAAAACUCAAAGAUCUAUCAGAUGCAUCUAGACUUCCAAUAGCCUAUGGCAAUGUUGGGGGAGGGGGGGAACCCUGCAUGGGACAGUUGUCUUAUACAUUACUUAAGGCAUCUAUUU